GGUCGCAGAGGGGGGUCGGUGUGAGAACUCGUGCGUGCCGGACGGCCUUUUUGGAGCAGGGCCUUUCUUCUAACCCUAACCAAGAUACCUAAUUGUCGUCAAGUUGUUGACAAAUAGGGUCCGGGUUAGGGCUAUUCUUUACUACAAAAACUCUAGGGUUAGUGGGUAGCAGACAAUUACGUAGAAUGUAGCAGACAAUUAGCUUUUUCCGACCAAUCCAUGUCAAAUUUACAUCAUAUAUUAUUUAACCACUUCACUUCAUACGCUUGUAAUUUC
rnacentral:lncRNA from 1 species